AGAAAGGUCUGGAAAACCUCAGGCACCUUGAGAUUCAGCCUGUGUUAGGGCUGCACUUGAGAAAAACACCGUGUGACUCUGAAACAUUUCCCCGACGGCUGAAUUUCCUUUUCUGGGUUUUCCUCCGUGCCACAAGCUCAGGACCAAGUGUAAGAAGCAGCCCUUGAAAAAUGGCAGCAGGGCCUAGCAAUCUCCAGUGUGAGCCUUCCUGCCUGCCUCAGCGUGACAUCGGGGGACACUGAAGUGGAUGCUAAUCGUGUGGGCUGAUUCCUUGCACCUGCUGGCUGACCCCAGGGGAAAUCUGUGACUAGCAACGUCUGGCCAGUGUCUGCCUACUUUAUUCAGUACGCUUAUUUUCCAUCCCCAUAGAAGGAGAAAAAUUAGUAGAGACAUUUUAUUCACUUUGCAUUUGUGUACAUAUGUAUAAAUUUACUCUGAGUUCACGUGUGUGCAUGUAUGUGUGAGUGCAUGCAUGAUCGUGUGUGUGCAUGUAUGUGUGUGUGCAUGUAUGUGUGUGUGCAUGUAUGUUCACGUGUGUGCAUGUAUGUGUGUGUGCAUGUAUGUGUGUGUAUGUAUGUUCACGUGUGUGCAUGUAUGUUCCCGUGUGUGCAUGUAUGUGUGUGUUCAUGUAUGUGUGUGUGCAUGCAGAAGCCAGAGGUCACUGUUGAGUGUCUGCCUGUGUUGCACUCCACCUUGCCAUUUGAGACCGGGUCUGUCAUCAAAUCUGGAACUUAACAAUUGAGAUAGAAUGGCUGGCCAGAGAGCUCCAGAGAUCUUCUGUCUCCAUAAAGCACUCUGUCCCCCCCCCCCCCCCCAGUUCAGUGCUGUGGUUAUAGAACUGCGACACAAGCUUUUUAUAUGUGCACUGGGGAUGCAACCCAGUUCCCCGUGAUUGUAUGGUAGGCAUGUUACUCACUGAGCCGUCUCCCUAGCACUUAAGUUUACCUCUGAAUUGUUAGACUCUAGCGUGUCUGUAGUGAAGAGCCCAUUAACUAGAGGAGUAGUGUUUUCUUAGCAACCUCAAGUAUGGUAAAAUGUUAUACUGGCUAGCUUGCAUCAGAGGGAAAACACUUUUUUUUUUUAACUUUUUGGGAUUUCUAUGAUCAUUAUUUCAAAUCAGGAAGAAAGGAAUUUUCCUUGUGGAAAGCUAACAUGGUUUGAAGUAUUUGGCUCUGCAUUGCACUUGUCUAGAGCCUGUUUGCAGAUCAGAGUUUACACAGUGCCCACACACAUGAUCUCCUUCCAUUGUGAUGAUCAUCCUGUAAAAUGGGUAGGACAGGAGGCAUUAUCUCCUUCUAAGGUGAGAAGGCGGGUCCUGGAAGAUUAAAUGACUGGUUUGCAGUCAGCAGGCAGGCAGGUCCUGGAAGAUUAAGUGACUGAUUUGCUGCCAGCAGGGCAGAAAUGACAGAAACGAUACAGAAGGGAUCCAAAUCUACUUCUUGUGGUUUAGUUCCACCUUCUUUGCAUGAUACAGCAACAACUCAGUACAGUCCAGAGAUGCAGUUUAUUUAUUUAUUUAUUUAUUUAUUUAGACUCACUGGUGUGUCUGUGAACAGUCAUCAUGAGUCGUCGUCUGGCAUAGUCCCUAUGAGCACCAGGAUUUGUGAAUAUCUUUAUUUUGACAGGAACGGAAUCACCACUGCUGUGUCCCUUAAUAAUAAAAUCUGUAUUUGGUUCACCAUGCUGUGUGCUUUGGUGUUUCUAAUUUGUAACCUUGUGGGCAGGGUCUGGGCAGUCCAUUUGAUCCCAGCUGUAUGACCUCGAGACUAAUAAGAUCGAUCGCACGCCACCUUCUGAGUACCCUGGUCAGAGGCCAGUGUCAUUCUGGCAUCUUGCUCUCAUUGUCCAGUGAGCAUGCUUGCAUCACUGUAUGCUCCUAUCGCUGUCUGUGGCCAUCCCAGUUCUUUUUUAUAAAACAUGGAAGUUUAAACACCUCUGUAACCCCUCAGUGUUACUAGGUUGGACCACCAUCCUCUGCAUAAUUUAGCUUAAGAUUUGGCCUCACCAUUAACAACUUUCCCCCAACAACACUGAGUUUUUCCUUCCCUCUUUCACCCACUUUUGCUUCUCUCCAUCUGGUAUUGAGUCAGAUAUAUAAGUAUAUUCAUUUAUUCGAAAUUUCUCCCCCAAAUUUCCUUCCCCUUCUUUCUCCCUUCCAGCUCCUUCCUGAUGUUUUAAUACCAUGACUCAGUAUAUAGUCUAUGGAGUGUUUAAACUUGUGAUCAUUCUGUCUCUACUUCCCAAGUGCUGGGAUUACAGGGGAGUGCCACUAUGGCUAGCCAAAAUUAUUACUAUUUCAUAUCUUAAUUCACACCAUAUGAUUUUGUAAAAACUAAAAUGGUGAAGAAAGAGAACACUCUGUUAUUGACAGGUACACUUCUGUCUUACUGAGGGUUUCACUGCUGUGAACAGACACCAUGACCAAGACAACUCUUAUAAGGACAACAUUUAAUUGGGGCUGGCUUACAGGUUCAGAGAUUCAGUCCAUUAUCAAGGCAGGAGCAUGGCAGCAUCCAGGUGUGCAUGGUGCAGGAGGAGCUGAGAGUUCUACAUCUUCAACUGAAGGCUGCUAGCAGAAUACUGACUUCCAGGCAGCUAGGAUGAGGGUCCUAAAGUCCACACUGACAGUGACACACCUACUCCAACAGGGCCACACCUUCUAAUCCUACAACUCCAUCACGAUGUCAAAUGAACCUUUUUGAUUCUAAACUUUAAAUAACAGUUGACCUUCAUUAAUACAAAUGGAAAUUGUGUACUAUUCAUUAUUUUUCUUAUGUGAACUGCUAAUAAUCCCAAUAUGCAGCACUCAUAUAAUCUUUUAAUUGAAAUGAUAUAAGCCCCAUCUUGGAUCCAGACUUCCAUUUGUAUGUAAGAGACUUUCAAAAAAAAUUUAAAUACAAUUUUUAAUUUGUACUCUGGUUUACUAUGGGAGAGAUACAAAAGUGUUCAAAUGCGAUUUAGAUUUAUUGACAACAGAAUUUAAAAUUUUUGUGACAUGAGAAUUGAGGCUCUGAGAAAAAUAACAAUUUUCUUGUUUUCUAAAUAUUGGAGAAUUCAUCAAGGAGUCUCACUCCUGAUAGGAAAAUCUCUCAUCCCCAACAUAUUUACUCUGUUUUGGUUUAAAGUUUCUUCCAAUGAAAUGAAAAUUCAAAGAAUUCUUUCUAAUAUGAGCAAUCACUUGAGUAGUUUCUGAAGUGAAAUGACUGCAGUAAUAGCCAUGUUCUUUGUCCUUUCUUGGCUCCAUUUGAAUGCUUUAGUAGAGAGUUGUGUGUAAUAACUAAGUCUGGGAUGUGGCGGGCUUCUAUCAGAGAUACCUUCCUAGUGUGCUGAGAGCUGACAGGAUGAGGGAGGAGCAGACAGGUGAGUCUGACUAGUGGGGGCGGGUGGGGGUGUCCCUCGCCUUUUGUUCUUUCUCCCUUUUUGAAUGCUGUUUGAGAUGAGAAUAUGUUCUUUUCUAUCUGUGGUUUCUUUAGUUUUGAUGUUCCUGACUGCUGUGGAGGUCACACGAGGGAUUCCUCUGCUGACCUCCCCAGGGCAGGCCUUGGAAGUUUGGUCUUUGCUCUGGGUCAUCCAGAGGAAGGUUUUCUAAGCAGAUGUGCCAGGGACACAUCUUGCUUAGCAUUGCAAAGACAGAGGGAGAGAAGCCUCAACCUUGAGGGUCUCAAGUGUCAAUUUUAUUUCACUCAAAGACAAAAACCACAUUCAUUCUGUUGCAAAAAAGGAAAGGGUGGGGGAGCGAGCCCACGCCCCCCUAGCUGCAGCCUUUGUCUACACCAGCUUCCUGGAGACACUUUAGAAGAUCGGCCAAUAGUUGCACUGUGGCAUGCUGUGUGGCAUUCUGUGUUUGACAGAUACUGUUUUUUCCACUUGACUGGUUGUAGAUUUUUUUAAUAGUUGAAUUUGUAAAU
rnacentral:lncRNA from 1 species